CCCGUUUCGAUUUUUUCAUGAGACUAUCAAUGUAGAUUUUAAAGUACUCAUUCUCACUCAGUUGUGCAAGUUUUUGGUUGUCAUCGUAUUUGCUCAGUAUAAGUCGCAAAUGUUGGUAGGUGUCUGGUAAAAUGUCAAGAAUGUAAGGCGGGCUGUUUUUCAGUUGAAGCUUUGGGUUUUGGCACAGUCUUACCACUUUGUCCAUGAGCUUCCAGGUCUUCUCUACAGUCCUCCGGUCCGCAGCCGCCUGCUUCGGGGGGCCCACAGCAUCCUGAAUGGCGUCGAUGAAGCCCAGGAUCCGUCCUUUGCGUGGGUUCCGGCCGUUCUGGGAGUUGGCCAUCUGGGAGCCGGGAGGUCCGUAUGUGGCACAGCUCACAGCCCCAGGCAGGCUGUGGUCUCCGCGCUCUCCGGCAAAGUGAGGCUGGCGAAGCUCCGGCUGCCCCGCUCCCUCCCCCGCCCCGCGGCGCUCUGGCGGCCGCUCCUCUCCUCGCAACAUGCCCGCCCCGAGGCCACGGCUCGGCCCCACGCAUGCGCGCCGCGAGG
rnacentral:lncRNA from 1 species